ACUUUCGUGGUGUAACGGUUAGCACACUUAACGCGUAUUCGAGAGGUCCAGGGUUCGAGUCCUGGCGAAGGCA
rfam:Stegodyphus mimosarum contig76284, whole genome shotgun sequence.